GGUUAAGCGACUAAGCGUACACGGUGGAUGCCCUGGCAGUCAGAGGCGAUGAAGGACGUGCUAAUCUGCGAAAAGCGUCGGUAAGGUGAUAUGAACCGUUAUAACCGGCGAUGUCCGAAUGGGGAAACCCAGUGCAAUUCGUUGCACUAUCGUUAACUGAAUACAUAGGUUAACGAGGCGAACCGGGGGAACUGAAACAUCUAAGUACCCCGAGGAAAAGAAAUCAACCGAGAUUCCCCCAGUAGCGGCGAGCGAACGGGGAGCAGCCCAGAGUCUGAAUCAGCUUGUGUGUUAGUGGAACGGUCUGGAAAGUCCGACGGUACAGGGUGAUAGUCCCGUACACCAAAAUGCACAGGCUGUGAACUCGAAGAGUAGGGCGGGACACGUGGUAUCCUGUCUGAAUAUGGGGGGACCAUCCUCCAAGGCUAAAUACUCCUGACUGACCGAUAGUGAACCAGUACCGUGAGGGAAAGGCGAAAAGAACCCCGGCGAGGGGAGUGAAAAAGAACCUGAAACCGUGUACGUACAAGCAGUGGGAGCACCUUCGGGUGUGACUGCGUACCUUUUGUAUAAUGGGUCAGCGACUUAUAUUCUGUAGCAAGGUUAACCGUAUAGGGGAGCCGCAGGGAAACCGAGUCUUAACUGGGCGUUAAGUUGCAGGGUAUAGACCCGAAACCCGGUGAUCUAGCCAUGGGCAGGUUGAAGGUUGGGUAACACUAACUGGAGGACCGAACCGACUAAUGUUGAAAAAUUAGCGGAUGACUUGUGGCUGGGGGUGAAAGGCCAAUCAAACCGGGAGAUAGCUGGUUCUCCCCGAAAGCUAUUUAGGUAGCGCCUCGUGAAUUCAUCUUCGGGGGUAGAGCACUGUUUCGGCUAGGGGGUCAUCCCGACUUACCAACCCGAUGCAAACUACGAAUACCGAAGAAUGUUAUCACGGGAGACACACGGCGGGUGCUAACGUCCGUCGUGAAGAGGGAAACAACCCAGACCGCCAGCUAAGGUCCCAAAGUCAUGGUUAAGUGGGAAACGAUGUGGGAAGGCACAGACAGCCAGGAUGUUGGCUUAGAAGCAGCCAUCAUUUAAAGAAAGCGUAAUAGCUCACUGGUCGAGUCGGCCUGCGCGGAAGAUGUAACGGGGCUAAACCAUGCACCGAAGCUGCGGCAGCGACACUAUGUGUUGUUGGGUAGGGGAGCGUUCUGUAAGCCUGCGAAGGUGGCCUGUGAGGGUUGCUGGAGGUAUCAGAAGUGCGAAUGCUGACAUAAGUAACGAUAAAGCGGGUGAAAAGCCCGCUCGCCGGAAGACCAAGGGUUCCUGUCCAACGUUAAUCGGGGCAGGGUGAGUCGACCCCUAAGGCGAGGCCGAAAGGCGUAGUCGAUGGGAAACAGGUUAAUAUUCCUGUACUUGGUGUUACUGCGAAGGGGGGACGGAGAAGGCUAUGUUAGCCGGGCGACGGUUGUCCCGGUUUAAGCAUGUAGGCUGGUUGUCCAGGCAAAUCCGGAUAAUCAAGGCUGAGGUGUGAUGACGAGGCACUACGGUGCUGAAGUAACAAAUGCCCUGCUUCCAGGAAAAGCCUCUAAGCAUCAGGUAACAUUAAAUCGUACCCCAAACCGACACAGGUGGUCAGGUAGAGAAUACCAAGGCGCUUGAGAGAACUCGGGUGAAGGAACUAGGCAAAAUGGUGCCGUAACUUCGGGAGAAGGCACGCUGGUGUGUAGGUGAAGCCCCUGCGGGUGGAGCUGAGACCAGUCGAAGAUACCAGCUGGCUGCAACUGUUUAUUAAAAACACAGCACUGUGCAAACACGAAAGUGGACGUAUACGGUGUGACGCCUGCCCGGUGCCGGAAGGUUAAUUGAUGGGGUUAUCCGUAAGGAGAAGCUCUUGAUCGAAGCCCCGGUAAACGGCGGCCGUAACUAUAACGGUCCUAAGGUAGCGAAAUUCCUUGUCGGGUAAGUUCCGACCUGCACGAAUGGCGUAAUGAUGGCCAGGCUGUCUCCACCCGAGACUCAGUGAAAUUGAACUCGCUGUGAAGAUGCAGUGUACCCGCGGCAAGACGGAAAGACCCCGUGAACCUUUACUAUAGCUUGACACUGAACAUUGAGCCUUGAUGUGUAGGAUAGGUGGGAGGCUUUGAAGCGUGGACGCCAGUCUGCGUGGAGCCAACCUUGAAAUACCACCCUUUAAUGUUUGAUGUUCUAACGUUGGCCCCUGACCGGGGUUGCGGACAGUGUCUGGUGGGUAGUUUGACUGGGGCGGUCUCCUCCCAAAGCGUAACGGAGGAGCACGAAGGUUAGCUAAUCCUGGUCGGACAUCAGGAGGUUAGUGCAAUGGCAUAAGCUAGCUUGACUGCGAGCGUGACGGCGCGAGCAGGUGCGAAAGCAGGUCAUAGUGAUCCGGUGGUUCUGAAUGGAAGGGCCAUCGCUCAACGGAUAAAAGGUACUCCGGGGAUAACAGGCUGAUACCGCCCAAGAGUUCAUAUCGACGGCGGUGUUUGGCACCUCGAUGUCGGCUCAUCACAUCCUGGGGCUGAAGUAGGUCCCAAGGGUAUGGCUGUUCGCCAUUUAAAGUGGUACGCGAGCUGGGUUUAGAACGUCGUGAGACAGUUCGGUCCCUAUCUGCCGUGGGCGCUGGAGAAUUGAGGGGGGCUGCUCCUAGUACGAGAGGACCGGAGUGGACGCAUCACUGGUGUUCGGGUUGUCAUGCCAAUGGCACUGCCCGGUAGCUAAAUGCGGAAGAGAUAAGUGCUGAAAGCAUCUAAGCACGAAACUUGCCCCGAGAUGAGUUCUCCCUGAGACUUUAAGUCUCCUGAAGGAACGUUAAAGACGAUGACGUUGAUAGGCCGGGUGUGUAAGCGCAGCGAUGCGUUGAGCUAACCGGUACUAAUGAACCGUGAGGCUUAACCUU
rnacentral:rRNA from 1 species